AGUGAACGCUGGCGGUAGGCCUAACACAUGCAAGUCGAACGGCAGCACAGUAAGAGCUUGCUCUUACGGGUGGCGAGUGGCGGACGGGUGAGGAAUACAUCGGAAUCUACUUUUUCGUGGGGGAUAACGUAGGGAAACUUACGCUAAUACCGCAUACGACCUACGGGUGAAAGCAGGGGAUCUUCGGACCUUGCGCGAUUGAAUGAGCCGAUGUCGGAUUAGCUAGUUGGCGGGGUAAAGGCCCACCAAGGCGACGAUCCGUAGCUGGUCUGAGAGGAUGAUCGGCCACACUGGAGCUGAGACACGGUCCAGACUCCUACGGGAGGCAGCAGUGGGGAAUAUUGGACAAUGGGCGCAAGCCUGAUCCAGCCAUACCGCGUGGGUGAAGAAGGCCUUCGGGUUGUAAAGCCCUUUUGUUGGGAAAGAAAAGCAGCAGGUUAAUACCCCGCUGUUCUGACGGUACCCAAAGAAUAAGCACCAGCUAACUUCGUG
rnacentral:rRNA from 1 species